GUCUUGGUAGUGCAAACGGUUAGCACGUCGCCCCCGAAAGAGUGAAAUAGGGGUUCAAUUCCCAGCCUAAGAUU